rnacentral:rRNA from 1 species
AGGCAGCAGUGGGGAAUAUUGCACAAUGGGCGCAAGCCUGAUGCAGCCAUGCCGCGUGUAUGAAGAAGGCCUUCGGGUUGUAAAGUACUUUCAGCAGUGAGGAAGGUGGGUAUGUUAAUAGCAUACUCAUUUGACGUUAGCUGCAGAAGAAGCACCGGCUAACUCCGUGCCAGCAGCCGCGGUAAUACGGAGGGUGCGAGCGUUAAUCGGAAUUACUGGGCGUAAAGCGCAUGCAGGUGGUUUGUUAAGUCAGAUGUGAAAGCCCGGGGCUCAACCUCGGAAUUGCAUUUGAAACUGGCAAACUAGAGUACUGUAGAGGGGGUAGAAUUUCAGGUGUAGCGGUGAAAUGCGUAGAGAUCUGAAGGAAUACCGGUGGCGAAGGCGGCCCCCUGGACAGAUACUGACACUCAGAUGCGAAAGCGUGGGGAGCAAACAGGAUUAGAUACCCCUGGUAG